GGCCGGUUUGUUCUGUCUCUUUUAGAGUAUCGGCCAUAACGCUCUUCCCUCCCUACAUGUGCUUUCCAGUCUACGUACCUAUUGAACGCUGCCUUCAGGUUUUUGUACGGCGGUUCGAUGCCUUCGUGUCACUGUGGAUCACGUUUGGUGGAGGAACCAGACUGAGCGUUGGAAGUGAUGUCCGGCCCACCCUGACGGUGCUGCCCCCCUCCAGGGAGGAGCUGCAGCAGGGGACGGCCACGCUGGUGUGCCUGGCCGACAAGGGCUUCCCCUCCGACUGGAGUCUGGCCUGGAAGGUGGACGGCAGCAGCAGCAGCUGGGAGGAGAGCAGGAGCCCCGGGGUGCUGGGGGGGGGCGCCCUCUACAGCUGGAGCAGCACCCUGAGGCUCCCUGCAAACCAGUGGGCCAAGGUGCGCUCCGUGACCUGUGAGGCCACCCAGGGCUCCCAGACUGCGCUCUCAGAGACGCUGAGGAGAGACCAGUGUUCCCAGUGAGCUGAGCCACUGGGGCUCUGAUACUGGUUCACUCUCAUACUGGUUCAGUAUGACUUGUAACACGUUCCCGUUCAUUUCUUUUUUUUCAAUCACUGUCUAAGUUCCUGUUUCAUUUAUUAAGUUCUGUUCACUUUUAUUAUUUCAACACAAUAAAAACU